rnacentral:misc_RNA from 1 species
CAAACCCUCUAUCCAACUUUUGUUGUAUAGGAUUAUUGGGGGCCUCUCGAUCUGUAUAGAUCUUGAAAUCCCUGAAAUUUACUAAGGCCUGAACUUGUUUAAAUGCCUGAACUUUUUUUUAAUAUAAAGGAAAGCUCUUGUAAUUGACUUUGAUGGGGCCUCCCAAAUAAAUCUUUUUUAA